CUAGAAGGCUACCAUACUUCCCCCAAGGAGAUAUGGCUGGAGUAAUAAAUGCCUAUAUCAAAGAACUAGAAAGAUUUCAAAUCAAUAACCUAUUAAUGCACCUCAAGGAUAUAGGAAAGCAAGAAGAAAUCAAACCCCAAAUUAGUAGAAUGAAAGAAAUAGAUCAGAGGGAAAUGGCAGUCUCUCCAGUAAAUCAUGCUGAGAAAACUGAAUGUGCAUAUGCAGAAGAAUGAAACUAGACUCCAAAUUUUACCCAAUAAAAAAUUAAUUUACAAUGAAUCAAAGACCUAAAUGUAAGACCUGAAAUGAUAAACAUAUUAGAAGAAAACAGGGGAAACACUUCAAGACAUUGGUCUGAAAAAAGAUUUUGUAAGUAAGACCUUAAAAGCACAGGCAAAGAAAAAAAAGCAAAAGUAGACAAAAUUAUAUGUCAAACUAAAAAGCUCCUGCACAGCAAAGGAAACAACAGAGUGAAAACACAACCUACAGAAUGGGAAAAAAUAUUCAUAAAAUAUUUAUCCAAUAGGGAAUUAAUAUCCAGAAUAUACAAGAGACUCAAACAUUCCAACAGCAAAAACAAAAAGCAAAAAACGAAAAACAAAAAAAAACCCUCCAAUCUAAUAAAAAAGUGGACAAAUUG
rnacentral:lncRNA from 1 species